rnacentral:rRNA from 1 species
GACGAACGCUGGCGGCGUGCUUAACACAUGCAAGUCGAACGGAAAGGCCCUGCUUUUGUGGGGUGCUCGAGUGGCGAACGGGUGAGUAACACGCGUGUAACCUGUCCUUGACUUUGGGAUAACUUCAGGAAACUGGGGCUCAUAUCGGAUAGGAGAUACUGAUGCACGGUGGGGGUUGGAAAGUUUCGGCGGUUGGGGAUGGACUCGCGGCUUAUCAGCUUGUUGGUGGGGUAGUGGCUUACCAAGGCUUUGACGGGUAGCCGGCCUGAGAGGGUGACCGGCCACAUUGCGACUGAGAGACGGCCCAGACUCCUACGGGAGGCAGCAGUGGGGAAUAUGGCACAGUGGGCGGAAGCCUGAUGCAGCAACGCCGCGUGCGGGAUGACGGCCUUCGAGUUGUAAACCGCUUUCGCCUGUGACGAAGCGUUAGUGACGGUAAUGGGUAAAGAAGCACCGGCUAACUACGUG